UGAUUAAGCCAUGCAAGUCGAGAGGGUUCGGCCCUCGGCGUACUGCUCAGUAACACGUGGAUAACCUGCCCUAGGGAAGGGGAUAACCCCGGGAAACUGGGGAUAAUACCCUAUAGAUUACAGAUGCUGGAAUGCCCUGUAAUCCAAAGUUCCGACGCCCUAGGAUGGAUCUGCGGCCGAUUAGGUUGUUGUUGGGGUAAUGGCUCAACAAGCCCGUAAUCGGUACGGGUUGUGGGAGCAAGAGCCCGGAGUUGGAUUCUGAGACACGAAUCCAGGCCCUACGGGGCGCAGCAGGCGCGAAAACUUUACAAUGCGGGCAACCGUGAUAAGGGAACCUCGAGUGCCUGUAAAUGCAGGCUGUUCAGGUGCCUAAAACACACCUGAAGAAAGGGCCGGGCAAGACCGGUGCCAGCCGCCGCGGUAAUACCGGCGGCUCGAGUGGUGGCCGCUUUUAUUGGGCUUAAAGCGUUCGUAGCUGGGUUGUUAAGUCUCUUGGGAAAUCUGGCGGCUUAACCGUCAGGCGUCUAAGGGAUACUGGCAAUCUUGGAACCGGGAGAGGUGAGGGGUACUUCGGGGGUAGGAGUGAAAUCCUGUAAUCCUCGAGGGACCACCUGUGGCGAAGGCGCCUCACCAGAACGGCUUCGACAGUGAGGGACGAAAGCUGGGGGAGCAAACCGGAUUAGAUACCCGGGUAGUCCCAGCCGUAAACUAUGCGCGUUAGGUGUAUCGGUGACCACGAGUUACCGAGGUGCCGAAGGGAAACCGUGAAACGUGCCGCCUGGGAAGUACGGUCGCAAGGCUGAAACUUAAAGGAAUUGGCGGGAGAGCA
rnacentral:rRNA from 1 species